AUGAUAGCCCUAAGGAAUUUGAACCUCAUAUUUCCGACUGUUGCUGUGUUAUGCGCCAAAGGCAGUGCUGUGCCACUUCUGCUGGAUCCAAAGAAGAUCCUUGAUUUCAUUGAUCGUUGGCAUAAAGAUCCCAACACACCUCUUCCUGAUCUAAACCUCACACAUGGACAGAGUCACAUGUUGACUGCCUUCAUCGCUGAAGAAAAGUGGAAAUUUGAUAAGGCAAGAUCAGUGAAGAAAGCUCAAUACAAAAAGGAGCAUCAUCUGAAGAAAAAUGUCUUGAAAAUGUCCACUGAAGAACUUGUGACUAUAUAG
rnacentral:rRNA from 1 species